rnacentral:rRNA from 1 species
AACCAGUACCGUGAGGGAAAGGUGAAAAGCACCCCGGAAGGGGAGUGAAAUAGAACCUGAAACCGUGUGCUUACAAGUAGUCAGAGCCCGUUAAUGGGUGAUGGCGUGCCUUUUGUAGAAUGAACCGGCGAGUUACGAUUUGAUGCAAGGUUAAGCAGUAAAUGUGGAGCCGUAGCGAAAGCGAGUCUGAAUAGGGCGUUUAGUAUUUGGUCGUAGACCCGAAACCAGGUGAUCUACCCUUGGUCAGGUUGAAGUUCAGGUAACACUGAAUGGAGGACCGAACCGACUUACGUUGAAAAGUGAGCGGAUGAACUGAGGGUAGCGGAGAAAUUCCAAUCGAACCUGGAGAUAGCUGGUUCUCUCCGAAAUAGCUUUAGGGCUAGCCUCAAGUGAUGAUUAUUGGAGGUAGAGCACUGUUUGGACGAGGGGCCCCUCUCGGGUUACCGAAUUCAGACAAACUCCGAAUGCCAAUUAAUUUAACUUGGGAGUCAGAACAUGGGUGAUAAGGUCCGUGUUCGAAAGGGAAACAGCCCAGACCACCAGCUAAGGUCCCAAAAUAUAUGUUAAGUGGAAAAGGAUGUGGCGUUGCCCAGACAACUAGGAUGUUGGCUUAGAAGCAGCCAUCAUUUAAAGAGUGCGUAAUAGCUCACUAGUCGAGUGACACUGCGCCGAAAAUGUACCGGGGCUAAACAUAUUACCGAAGCUGUGGAUUGUCCUUUGGACAAUGGUAGGAGAGCGUUCUAAGGGCGUUGAAGCA